UUCCUGGAGCCUAGAACUGGAAAGAAGCCCCUGGAAUCCCUGACAUCAGAGGUGACGCGAGCCUUCGCAAGCGAUGACUAGGCAGAAUCCGUCGCCACUCCCUUUCCCGCGUCCCGGCCGCUCUGCGCGGGUGUGUCGCCUCCGACCAGGUGGCUCUGGCUCCUGCAGCAGCUUUCUCUAGGUCCGCGCGCCCCAGAGCCCGCCGGGGCCCGCCAGACCCUCGGGGCUCCUCGGCUAACACAGCCCGAUUUCUAAUUACAAGGCCCGUGGGCCGGGCUGUGGCGCCCCCUCCCGGUAACGGCAGGGAGGCGGUGCACGGAAGACGUCAUUGCCACAUUUUAAUCAAAGGAAGUCCUUUCUGGGGUCCAGCCUCGACUUCUCCCGCGGGGGCCGUUUGCAGGAAGAAAGGUCAUAGGGAGCUCAAUAGUCCCGUUGCCGGCUAGGCUGGACACCACCUUGAGGCCCAAUUGAAAGGAACCGCCUGGAGUAGGACCCUGCCAGCAUGUCUCUGCUGAAAGAGACUUUUGGGGAGUCAGGCUAAGGACUACUGUGCUGGGCGGGUGCGAAGGCUGGAGUCUGCCCUGCUCUGCUGCCGCUGAUGGUUUUAGGACCUAAAGGUUCAGGAAGGACAGAAGAGAAGAGAAGGAGCAGAAAAAGUAUUUUAACAAUGGAAAUUCUUGUGCAAGCAAAACCUUGGAAAGAAGAUAUAAAAUAGAGCUGCUCUGGAGCCUCACCCACUUGGUCCCACUCUCAGAACUGUCAUUAAAUCCUGAGGUGGGGAGAGUGUUUCUUGGUGUACAAUUUGGGAAAUACUGGAAGAAUUCUGCCUAGAAUAAAAAGGAUGUUGCUUUGCAGCCACUUAGAUGUCCUCUCUGAGCUUUUCUGAGAAGGUGACUUCUGCUGAUGGGAGGAUGGAGCUUGGGGGCCAGCCGUUGCUGCCGCCUGGGGGAUGGGUCUCUGAGGGGGCUGGAGGGCCCUGUGCAGGUGUUGGGGGCCUGUGGGAGGUGGAUCAGGGUCUGCAGGGCAGGGGCUGUGAGUUACAGCACCUGCGUGUGUGGAGGCACCAGCCUGACCACCCCCUUCCCUGCCUGUGCCCCUCUGUGCCCCUCUGUGUCCCCAUCUCUGGUCACCUCCAGGAAGAGAACCAGGAGACUCUACUUCGGUGGCUUAAGCAGAUGUCAGUGACCUCCCGAUGGUUCUCAUCACACCAUGAGCAACACUUUACCGUUUGCAAAACGGUUUCACAUCCAGUCGUGGGUUUGAUCUGAUCUUGCAGCCGUUGGUAGAGAUAGUGCUGUGGCUAAUCCGUCCUCCCCCACCUUCCCCAGAGAGAAGAGGAAGUUGAGGAU